UACGAAGGGGGCUAGCGUUGCUCGGAAUGACUGGGCGUAAAGGGCGCGUAGGCGGUUUGUACAGUCAGGUGUGAAAUUCCCCGGGCUCAACCUCGAGCUGUCGGUGGAAACCGUGUGGCUAGAGUCCGGAAGAGGAGAGUGGAAUUCCCGGUGUAGCGGUGAAAUGCGCAGAUAUCGGGAAGAACACCCGUGGCGAAGGCGGCUCUCGUGGGACGGUACUGACGCUGAGACGCGAAAGCGUGGGGAG
rnacentral:rRNA from 1 species